UGGCUCAGGACUGCGUGGGAAGAACUCUUCAUUGUCCUCAGGUCGAGCUCCGGUCGCCUCAGGCAGCAGUGAUGGACUCAUCAGACCACCAACGAGCACAAAGUCCAACACAGACUGUGCGUCAAACCCAGAACGAGAUGAACCUUCUGGACGUUCUGUGAGUCGUCUCUUCUCCUCCUUCAGACUGAAC